UACGUAGGGGGCAAGCGUUGUCCGGAGUUACUGGGCGUAAAGCGCACGCAGGCGGUCUGCUAAGUUUGGAGUGACAGUUGGUGGCUUAACUGCCAAAGUGCUUCGAAAACUGACAGACUUGAGGGCUUCAGAGGGACACGGAAUUCCGGGUGGAGUGGUGAAAUGCGUAGAGAUCCGGAGGAACACCAAAGGCGAAGGCAGUGUCCUGGGGAGUUCCUGACGCUCAGGUGCGAAAGCCAGGGGAGCGAACGGG
rnacentral:rRNA from 1 species